rnacentral:misc_RNA from 1 species
CGAAAAUUCGCUGUCUGGACUUCUCGGAACAUUGGAAAGCAAGCCAUGGAGACGCAAUCACCGACAAGAAAUCUGGUGAUGGGUCUUUUUUUAUUAAUCGUCUUCGUCUCCACUGUGAAAGCUUGGACAGGUGAAAUCCAUGGAAGGGUUAUUUGUGAUGUCUGUGCUGAUUCGUCCGUUGGCCCUGAGGAUCAUAUCUUAGAAGGUGCUGAAGUCGCUGUUCUUUGCAUAACAAAAUCUGGAGAAGUUCUAAAUUACCAAGCAUUUACAAAUGCAAAGGGGAUAUAUACCGUAGCAGAAACCAUGCCUGAGAGUGACCGUUGGGAUGCAUGCUUGGCAAGACCUAUCAGUAGUUUCCAUGAUCACUGCACCCAUCUCGGGGAAGGAAGUACAGGAGUGAAGUUCGCUUAUAAUCAUCCAUCAGGCUAUUCUCACACCGUCAGACCAUUUGUCUAUCGCCCUGCUAGUGUUCCUACUUAUUGCAUCUAGAUGCUACUGUUAUCAUGUAUAUUAUACUUAUCAAUUGUGCUUGUUCUAUCUUCUAUGUAGAACAAAUUAGAGUACAGGCUGGCCCAUGUUUUACAGAAACAUGUUGGAUAUCAAUGUGCUUGUUUGUGAUAGACUAGAUCUGUAGCUCAGCAUAUUGUUUUUUUUUUUAACAAAAG